CAACCAGUCUCUUCACUCCUUUUUCCAUCAUGAGACCUGUAGAUUUAAUCCCUGACAUAGACAGUAAUAAUCCAAGAGUACCUCCACUGACUAUUUUAGAUUCCUCACAAGUAUCCCUAACUUGCGGUAUUGAAUGGAAAUGUGAGUUGGAGCCCUUUCAAACCUUUGUGCUGUGUUGCCAAAGGCAAUUAGUCUUCAGGGGGCCACUUUCAAACUGGUUCCUGGACCACUAUGGAAGCACCUCAGAGGGAAGCUUUUCUACCUGGGUGAGGGGGGCAAGGACAUCCUUCUAGACCAAUCCUGAGAUAAAAGCAUGUUGACCGUCAUCUGCUGGCCAGGUCAGUACUUGUGGGACUCUGCAGCUCUUUGCCUGAAGGAAUAGCACUAGAAAAGCAACUUCAUGGGCCCAACACUUAUAUUAGAUAUAAAGCCAAAUUGGAGAAGACCAUUUACAAUCCAAGUAAGGCUUGGGCAUGAUGUGGGAUUUUUCAAGUGGAAGCUCAGGGACACCAAAUAGAGUCAAAGAAGAGCUAAUAUGACCUUUAUAUCACUCAACAGGUGAUGUUUAAGUCACAUGUAAUCUUUGGUUUCAAAUAAUUCUAGCUGUAAAUGGUUCCUGUCUACUGGCUGUAUGGUUAACAGCAGAGGAGACGAGGUAGAAACGCAAUAUCAGUGUAGAUAAACCAACAUAUAAAAUAGUUUUGUUGUUAGCUUGGUUUAGUUUGUUUUUCACUGGUCUGAAUCGUGGAGCAAUUUGUAAAAUUGUUCCAAACAACCUCAACUCUGGUCAAAUGUGUCGAAAAUCCUCCCUAAUUGGUCUUGCAGAUGUUCAAUACCUUUGCAAAAUUUCUGAUAUAGACACCAGCGAGUGAGAGAAAACAAAAACACUUGCUUUACAAAAAUGCAAGAUGUAGACCACAACAAAAAAGGGCAAACCAAGACCCAUGUUUUCAGUCUGUCUUGGUGCAGUUGUUUGGGCUACACUAGGGUACAAUUGACAACUGCCACACCAUCACGAAUGAACCAUACACACUCAGCAAACAAACGCAGGUUCCUUUUAACCAAACCAAACAGGUGAACUGUGGAGGCACUCUUAAAAUGAACUUGUUUAUUUUCUGGUCACAAGUCAGAAACAUUUAACCUCAUUGACUGAUGUGGUGAAAUCAAAUUACGUCCAUAAACGUUUUUAAAUGACACUUUAAGGCAUCUGUGUUGGCAGUUUGAAACUGACUUUAACGGGAAGUAACUCACCCCUCUUCACCAGUUUAUCAUUCCCCCAGUGACUUAACUUUUAAAAGAACAGAUUUACCCGAACUGAUAAAAGGCCUAUCAGAGAUUUGGACAUGUGGAGAGGAGUCAAAUGCUCAUGGCUAGAGUGAAUGGCUGUGGGUCAGAUGAAAGCUGAGUGAUUGAGGCUAAGAGGUAAUUCAUAAAUUUAUAAUGUUGGCCGGAGAUGUUCCAGACAGAAGUGUGUAGUGUGCUGUUUACUGGGACGGUUCUGGGCUGGUUUGUUUGGUGGAUCGACUAGCAUGCUAAUAGUGUUGGUAGCUGAGGUGUGUGCUCUUCUGAAUGCUAAGGUUGUUGAGGAUUGGUGUAUUUGUGACUCAGGCAGCAUGAUACAUACCGUCACAUACUUUUAUUGGUUUAUUCUGUGGCUCAGACAGAUCAUUCGCUCAACAUACUGUUACCGUGCUGGUACACUAUGUUGUUGAGGACGUUUGUAACACCCUUGCGUUAUUGGUCAAUGAUAUCUACAGAACAAGCUAGUCUGUGAUCUUGCAAACUGGAUGAAACGGCCUGUUACAUGAGAAUUAACAUAUUAUUAAGGACUGGAUAUGGCAGCAUGCUCAGCCUGUCUUCCUUUACAUUUCUUGAUUAAAUUCAAAGUUGUCUUUAAAUGGAUAAAAAGUGAUUUUAAAAUCAUCAAAAUGUAAAGUCGGGGUGGGCUGAAGUUUGAAGAUGGGGCCAGUUGAUUGCACCAAGGAAGCAAUUUCUUGUUGACUACAUACGCACCAUCUUUGGGUCACAUUUCAUGGCCUAUAUACACACUUACUCACACACACACACACACUAGCUAAAGACCACUAAAGACUGACAAAGGAAAUUGUAAAAAGCUUAUGAGCUCUCAAAGGCUUGUCCCUUGAGUGGGCAGAGGAAGGCUGUUUCCCAGUUUAGGGGGAUGGAGUGGAGGAUGAGCGCUGGUGUAUUGCUGCUACUGAAUCUCACCCACUUAGUGAUCAACCGUCACCCCUCACCUCACAGUUUAUGUUGCACUGUUCUCACAGCUGUCAUCAUAUCUUACAGAUGAAACCUCUGAGAGACGUUUGCUGUUAGCUGUAUGUCUAAACUAAGCUAGCUGCUUGCCAGAAGGUGCUUUACACCUCAAGCUAGUGUCAUCUAUCUAACUCACUGAAACUUAGGUGUACAGUAGUAAGAAAAGGAUAAAGAAUGUGAAUUUUUAGUUUACACCUUUAUCCCACAAAGAAUAUGUCUUGCUCUCUUAGCCAUGGCUUCCUUCAACCUUUCUUACAAUCUAUCAACUACUGUACCGCCUUCUUUGUCCCUUAUGAAUAUGCAAAUUCAUGUGAGUGUUUGGAAGUAAUUCCUCUUUUCUUUUGGCUUUUUAAACUAGUCAUAUUUCCUGUGUCUCCACCAGCUGUUUAACCACAGUCCAAGCAUGGAGUCCUGUUGCCCUGUUGGGUUUUUUUCCUUUGUCCUAGCUUCUGUCAGUUUUUUUUCUUUGGAUGCGAUCCUCUGGAAGCUUAAAAUCACAGGCUCCUGUGGUGUUUGAGGUCACUGUUUGCGUGCCAGGGAACAGUGUGCCUUUUUUCUCUGAUCUACAGCUUGUUGUAAAAGCAACUGCUUUCCAAGGAAAUAUUAGCAAGCCAACAAAAAAAAAAGAUAUAUGUGGAGUCAGAAUUCCUUGAAUCUGGAAAAAUCUCUGAGCAAAAAAGACAACCUCGAAAGCCAAUACUUGAUGACUGUGGUCAUUGGGCUCUAGGGGUGUCAUUUCUUUUGAAAACAGGCAUGACGCUGUAGUGGAAGUCACUGCACUGGCUCUAAAUCACUUCCUAAAUGCAUUGAUUGGAACAACAUGACCAGUCAGAGCUAUUCUAUGCAAAGAAGAAAUCAAACAAGUGGACCCAGAAUUGCUAGCAACUUCUCUGGUCCAGGUACCAUUUAACAAAAUCACAGAAAAGUAAACAUAUGCCUCUAAUUUGAGUAAUGGUAAAAAUAAGUUCUUCAUAGCCUGGUUCCAUUUCAUAUAACUACUAACCUUUUACAUACCUGUGCAUGUGAAAUCCACAGGCUGGAACUUGUCAAUUUUUUCCACUUCACAGUUACACAUUAAAGUGGAACAAGCAUUUGCUUUUAGAGCUUCUCACAUGUGGAAUGAUCUACUUGUGUUUUUUAGCCAUUACUCACCAUUGUUUUUGUUAUUAGUUUUGAGAGCUUUCUUCUAUCGACUGGGUGGAGAAAAAGUAGGUAGAAAUGUGUAAUUGUGAAAGCACUGAUUUAGCACAGAUCGACUAUGUAGAGUGACGCCCCGCUAUAAGGGGGCACAAUAAACAGGUAAUUGACAAUGAUGGACAGGUUAUCAUGUAAUUGGUGUAAUGCUUCAGUUUGCUGAACUACUGGGUGGAGAAUGAAUGAAUAAUGGUGAUAUGUUAUUGAUUAAGAGCUGGUUAGAUCAUAUAUAAAAUAAAUUUAAAAAAGACAUAGUUGUGAACCGCACCAAUUGACUGUCAUCAGUGUCAUUAGUGUUGCUAAUCUUAUUUUUGUACGCACAAAACUAGCUGAUGUAAACACUUAGGUAAUUUCUCCUAAUCAAAAGCAGAGAUUUAAACUUUAAACCUAUCUAGAAAAAAAUCCUAUUGGGCUUAAUUGAAGCCACAUUCACCUUACCACUAUCAAAAAAUUUCAUACUCUCAUAUUUGACAUUACAUGCCAGAUAUGAGUCAUGAAUUGCUUGUGAAGGGUAGAAGAAUUCGCCAGUGGAAAAAGAAAAAUGUACCUGUCAAGUGUCUUAAUAUUAGAGUUAUGUUUUUAGAAAAUAUCUUCUUUCAGGAAACUUGACAAGUAAUUUUUUCUUGUUCCAUCAGCAGAUGUAUUUUUUUCUCAAAACAAACAAUUCAGGUCUUAAUUGUGGUGUGUGAUUUUUUGAAAUAGGACAUUUUUUUUCUGGACUUGUCAGGUGCUUGUGGCUUAUAUUAAGCCUAAUAAAAUACUUUUAACAGAAAUGAGACAAAAACACUUGCUAAGAGUUUUGGUGUGUUUGAACGCUGCUUCAAAAGACAAGCCAAGCAAAACCAAAACGAAAAAAAGAAAAAAGCAGGACGAAGUUGAUGGCUGAGUCUUGAGGUAACAGAGGGAAUCAAAUCACUUAAGUUAUUUUUGGUUUUACCCUGUGCUCUGGUGUUCAUUGCCAAAAGAAAAGGUAUUAAUUUGAGCCAUCCGUAUUUUAUUUAGCACUCAGAGUCAUUAUUGUACCUCUAUUCGCCUCCACCUCAAAGAUUGCCAGUCAUUGUGGCUGUAAUAUGAUAAGUUGAAGUGUUAUGGCUGUUCAUGGCGCGAGGGCCUCCUGACUGAACCAAACUGUCUUCUACUCCUCAUCUUUUUUCUGUAUUUCCUGCACUUCCUUUCCUUCUCUCAGUUGCAGGUUAAAGACAAACAGAUGGGUGGGUGUUGCAGUCUUAUUUUCAGUGCAGAAUUAAUUAAGGCUUAUGGCAGCUGACGCAUCAGAUUCACACUGACCUGCAAUUAAGGAGAACACUUGCAUUUGGAGGGUUGGGAAUAUAGCAGCCAAACCAACAGCCCUGCCAACCGCCAUGAAAAAUACAUCCUUCUCACUGGGGUUUGCACUCUCAUUAAAAGUUGCCUUGAGACAUUUUGCUUAAGUUACCUCAGAAAUGUUUUUAUUUCUGCUUUGGUUGGUGUAAUUCUGUAUUCCUGCAUUGUUGGGGGAGCAGGUUAAGGUCCACCAAGCAUAGUUGAACAAGCAGAUAUUGGAAUGAGACUGCGGUCCAGGCCACGAUUGUAGAGUCAGUUUUCAGAUGGAGAUGAAUAACUGAGAGCUUUGCUGGCAAUCAAGAACAUUUACAACCAACAAAAAGAACAAAACAGCUCCAAAAUUAUAUAUAACAAUCUUCUUCCUUCAACUUUCAUGUUGAGGGAGGAAGUUAUAAAGGAAAUAAUUUGAUUAAUUACAUGGAAUGAAAAAUAUCAUGUUGGAGGCAUUUCUUGGAUGUUAAAACAAGAAAAUAUUCCUCAACUUUAAUGUUGGACUUUCUCUUGUAAGAGCUGCAACCAAAGAGAAAAAAAAACACUUUUCCUUGGAAGUGUGAACCAGCAGAGGGGAGGAUUUCUUCUUUUUUUGCUUGGAGCUACUUGCAACAAGCUGUGCUAGUUUGAGCACCACUGGGAACAUUUUGUAAAAUCCAAUUUUUGUGAUCAAAAGGCAUCCAUGGAGGGAGCUCAGUGUGGGUAGACAGCAUUAAAAGGAAACACCACUUCUUUCCUAUCUACAUCUUCCCUUAUCCCAGCUCCAAGCCCUAUGCAGUUGCAGCAGAUGGCUGUUUAACAUGAGUCUGGUUCUGCUCAAGGUUUCUGUCUUUCAAAAGGAAGUCCCUCCUUGCCAUAUGAAUUCAGUUAAUGCUGGGAAAUGCUCUAAGAUAGGAUAAGGCUUAAUCUUAAAAUACGACAAGACUGGAUCUUAUCUUAAGUUGAUCUUUAUGUUGGGGCUCUGUAAGUAAUAUUACAAAGGGUAGGGUCUGAAUCUACUCUAUGGAUAUUCUAUGAUUCUAUGGAUAAUACGGCCAAUGAGGAGCUUGAACUAAGACAUUAAAAUGACCCAAAAAAGUCACCCCUGAGGGACACCAUAUUUAAAGGAGCUCAGGAUACAAUAUGGUCAAUACCAAUGGAGAUAUUUCCUCCUGUUUAACAAAUAAGUGAGUCAUUGUAAAGCUCAUUACACUUACACAACCCACUGCAUCCAUUCAUGUAUUUAUAACAGAUUGUUGUUAUAAAUUCUAUCAAAGAAAUCAAUAAAUAUGUAGGAGUGCAUGUCCAAAAUACCCAAUCAAUGUAGUAAUUCCAAGUUUGCUUUUGAUUACUCAUUAUUGUCCAAUUUGCACUUUUUAGGAGGUUCCACUUUGGUUGCUAUUUUGAUUUUAUCCAAGUCCUGUACAUAUGACACUAUCAUUCCCUGUGAUAGCGAGGUAAAUGACUGGUCACAACAUGCCAACCAUGGGCGUUCCUUAAACUAUAGUCUUCCUCAAUGUUGAUUCGUCUGCUAUUAGUUGCCACCCAUUUAAUUGGCACUGUAUCCAGAGGCCCUUGGUGAUCCAUUCAAAGAAAAGUGUUCUGCCAGCUUUUGUGAUGCAGUUGGUUGCUGAUAUCUGUUAAAAGUUUGGUUAUGGCAUGCAAUUGAGCUCAAAGUAUGAGGAAUCUUUCGUCAUUUCCCUCCAAAAAAAGGUCCAGCUUAAUUGUUUGCAGUUUCUAAGAUGGAUGGUUUCAUUCACCACUCUAUCACCAAGUGGCACAUAAUGUGUCACAACAUGAAAGAGAGGAGGAGAACUAGACCCAAAUGCAGACAUAUUGUCCAAUAAAUCCAAAAUACAAGGGAUAAUAAUGACAAAGGAACAGUAAUAAUGCAUCAUGUCUAUUAGAAUAUCAUACUCAGAACUAAAACAGUGUCUAUGUAAGUAAUUCUUUGAGUAUCAGCUGAAACUGCAGACUGAUCGCUCACUGGAAACACUGGUUCUCAUACCUUUGAAGAGCCCAAUACAAGUUUAACAGGUGCUUAAUAAUGGUCAAGGUUACUCACUAUUUACUGGACUGGGAAAUAAAUCGUGGAUAUAAAUUAAUAAAAUAAAUACUAUAAUUAAACUAUACAUUGUGUCAUAUGUUUGUAAAAGCGUUUCUUUAAGGUACAACAAACGCGUUUUUAAAUGUGUUAUUUGUCCUUGCAGCUCUUCAGCAUAUGUGUGAAUAUGAGGCAGAUUGUUGUGUUUUGGCACCUGAGUUUCUCAUAAUUCCUCUCUUUUUUUUUUUUCUCUGUCAAGUGUGAUGUUGUGCAGGUGUGAGGAGUUGGAGUAGACCAGCACCCAUGGGUAAAACAAGCCUUAAGCGUGAGAAAUUUGUGAAGACAGCUGCUGCUUGUAGACCUUCCUGUUAACACCGAGCUUUUACUCCUACUGCAUAAGGCUGGAUGAUACUACAUUUGUUAUAAAUAUACUGCAUGUUUGAUGUUGACGCAGAAAACUACUUUAGUAUACUAGUUAUUUUCUUAAAGAUGCUGUCAACAUAGAAGGGUAAGGAGCAGCGUUCCUAUCUUGAUGUCUCAUUUUCACAUUCACCAAUAAAAUGUGAUUUCAUUCCUGACCUUUACUGUUUUUUUUUUUUUGCAACAGUACAACCACAGAAGUGAAAAUGAGAGUGUCUGACAUCUACUGUCAUAGCAGGUUGAGGUCACUGCAGUCGCAUUCACAGCUAGCGCAUGGCACUGAAAGCUCUUUGUAGCUGCAUGAAUGUUAAGUUUGAAUGCUGCAAAAAUAAAUAAAUAAAAAAAUUCAAUAAAGAACUUAAAGUUUCUUAUGCUCAAA